rnacentral:rRNA from 1 species
GACGAACGCUGGCGGCGUGCCUAAUACAUGCAAGUAGAACGCAGUUGCAAAAGGGUGAGUAACGAGUAGGUAACUGCCUCAUAGCGGGGGAUAACUAUUGGAAACGAUAGCUAAUACCACAUACUGUGAGAUGUACCUGAGUUGUAUUAGCUAGUUGGUGAGGUAAAGGCUAACAAAGGCGACGAUACCUAGCCGACCUGAGAGGGUGAUCGGCCACACUGGGCUUGGGACACGGCCCGGACCCCUACGAGAGGCAGCAGUAGGGAAUCUUCGGGAAAGGACGGAAGUCUGACCGUGCAACGCCGCGUGAGUGAAUAAUGUUUGCGGGUCGUAAAGCUCUGUUGUUAGAGAAACGGUAACUAACCAGAAAGGGACGGCUAACUACGUGCCAGCAGCCGCGGUAAUAC